AUUAAACGGCCGCGGUAUCCUGACCGUGCAAAGGUAGCGCAAUCACUUGUCUCUUAAAUGGAGACCCGUAUGAAUGGUCAAACGAGGACUUAACUGUCUCCCCUUUCCAGUCAAUGAAAUUGAUCUGUCCGUGCAGAAGCGGGCAUAACUAUACAAGACGAGAAGACCCUUUGGAGCUUAAGACGAACCAUCACCUAUGUUAAACACAAAACUUUUUAAACCAAAUAGCACCUGAUGAGAGUCUUCGGUUGGGGUGACCGCGGAACAAAAUUAAACUUCCGCAAGGAUUAAAGAAAACCUUUUAAAUAGAGAAAGACAUUUCUAAAUCACAGAAUUUCUGACCAUAAAGAUCCGACUACGUCGAUCAACGAACCAAGUUACCCAAGGGAUAACAGCGCAAUCCCCUUUCAGAGUUCCUAUCGCCAAGGGGGUUUACGACCUCGAUGUUGGAUCAGGACAUCCUAAUGGUGUAGCCGCUAUUAAGGGUUCGUUUUGUUCAACGAUUAAA
rnacentral:rRNA from 1 species